UGCGGUUGAGAUAUUGUAGAUCUGCACUGAUGUUAGUAGUUUUUUAUUAUUGGUUUAAAAUUUUUCACAAGCAAAACAAAACCAAUAUUUAGUAAGUUUAAUGUAAAUGAAAAUAUUAUUAAAAAGUUUGACCAAACAUUCAACAAGUUAUCACAUACCAGUUACCAGUCCCAUUCAAAUGUAGCAGUAUGGGGGACACGCACUUUUUCCAAAGUAGGCUCUUGUUGUUUAGACCAGAAUUGUUAUUAUUUGUACAUUUCUAUGUCUGAAAAGUAGCGUAGUAACAAAUGUAACCGACGUUUUCUUUAAUGGCGCGAACUGAAGCAAAAAGUCGAAAACAAUAUGUGCGUGAUGCUACAUGCGCUUGAGAUUAGAUGUACAAGACGUAACACGAUAUAUUAAGCCGUUUUACUGUAGAUGUAAAAUGCGGGAAUCAUAUAGUAAAUAUUUGUCCCUGUGAUGUAUAAAACAUAUUAUUGAAAUAGAAAAUAAACUCAGAUUACCGUAGAAUAUCUGUACAACCUACGUUCUGCUUCACGAAAAACAAACCAAACCCUUACAAAGAGGUCUUGUGCCGAAUCUCAUUCAGGUUUUUAGUCUUUAAGACGAGACAAAAACAAACUGACUUUUAAGGAACAUGAAAACGAAUUUUGUCUUGUAUCUUUGCAAAAGUAUGGUUUUUGUUCAAGAAUAUUUUUGCUUGAGGUUUCGAGGCAUAUAAUGAGAGACGAAUUCCUUGUGGAAGCGGAAUACGUCCGGUAGACGAAAGCAGACGUUGCUUAUACAAUGUAGACGCCGACUUUCGUAUAAAUGGAUGUGCAACUUUAAACCACCUUCAAGACUGUUCCGAAUUCGUUUGUCCGGACGGGUACGUGAAAUGUCCCGGAAGUUACUGUAUAUAUUCUCAUCGCGUGUGUGAUGGCAAUGUGGACUGUAUCUAUGGCGAAGACGAGGAAAAUUGCUGGUGCGGGGAUGAUAAUAAGACUGUUUUAAUAUUCAUAGACGGAAUGCAGACAGCAAACUAUCUGAAAAAGGCCUAUAAACUAGCCGGUAAAAUGUAUUCAAAGAAUCGCACUGUCAUGGUUUUCAGACACCGUUCCAAGUUAGGUUACAUAAUAGGCCAGUUGAUAAAAUCUUAUAACGGGCACCCUUUAGAUUAUGACGAAAGUGAAUAUUUUAUAGAAUUCAAACCUGGAGAAUCAGAUUAGGAAGACUUGUCCUUUGAACAAUUACUGGGAUUACACAAGAUUUUUGUCAGCGCAAAAACUCACCUGCUUAUAUGGAUAUCUGAUUCAGAAAUAAGCGAAGUUGAACAUGCAUUCUUAACCAUUACAAUGAAAUUUAUCAACAACAGUUACGGUGAAACCCAUUUAGUACAUGUACGUUCAGAUUCAUAUUUAAAGACAAACACAAAAGUUGUUCCAUCAUCCAUACCUGAAAUACUUGUGAGAGACUGGAAGAUUUUGAAAGCAGUUGGACCAUUGUUGUUAACGAAGCAAUGCAAAAGUCUUGAAAAUACUUCAUGCAGUCAUGGAUACCGAUGUUUGAUGAGCAGAGUGUGUUUACCUCUUUCCAAAAUGUGUGACAGCAUUAAACAGUGCCCAGAAGGAGAUGAUGAAAUGAACUGUCUGUUUAAAUGUCCAUCUUUCUGCAUAUGCGGAGUUCUUACGAUGAAAUGUUCUGAAGAAGAAGAGAAUGGAACCUUUCCUUUCUGGGAUAUUCACAGCUCUACUCGAUCUCUUGAUUUAAGCACAACUAAAAGUUUUGGGAAGGCAUUUCUUUUAUCAUACGAUAGAGAUGUUGAAUACCGUUCUCUGAUUUCACUGAACCUUUCUCAAUGUGAAAUAGUGGAACUGUCUUAUUCUUAUUUUCCCGAAUGAAAAAUUUAAGAAUAUUAGACAUACCAUACAAUCUUCUGACUCGUUUGAUGUCCUCCAUCUUUCCUAAACUGACACAUUUGACAAAUCUUUAUCUACAUGGAAAGCCCCUUUUAACAUACAUUGAACCGGGAGCUUUUAAUGGACUGAAGAUGCAUUCCCUUGAUUUAACAGGUUGCAGUAUCUCUGCAAUAUCGCUUAAUACAUUUGAGGGUCUCACCACGGAAGAACUUGAUCUAUCCUUUAAUGAAAUAGAAGAAAUAGAUGACGACGCUUUCAACAGGUUAUCUGUGAAACGUUUAAAGAUACAGGGGAACAGAAUAAGUAUUUUUACGAAAAAUAUGUUCAAUGGACUAACAAAUGUUGAACGACUCCACACACCUGCUGCAUUCGCCCAUCGUAUCUUAAAGAAGAGUCUUGUUUGCCAUAUAAAGUGUGCCGAUUUGAUGACAAACCAAACAUUGCAGGGGUUGCUCUGGACAAUAGGCAGCCUAGCUUUGAUUGGCAACAUAAUGUCAUUUAUAUACAGAAUUUAUUUCGACAAGAAAAGACUCAAGAUUGGAUAUGGUAUAUUUGUUACAAACCUUGCCAUAUCGGACCUCUUGAUGGGCAUCUACCUGUAUAUCAUUGCAAUAGCCGACAGAGUAUUUAGGAAUAGAUACAUAGAAGCUGAGGACUACUGGAGGAAUAGUUCAUGGUGCCGACUGGCAGGUGUAUAAUCUACAGUAUCUUCGGAGGCAAGUGUUCUUUUUAUUGCUCUCAUAACUAUCGACAGGAUACUUGUUAUAAAGUUUCCAUUCGGCGACGUUCGUUUAUCUGUUCGAUUGGCGAUUGCUUUAUCUAUUGCAUGUUGGGUAUCUGUGUUGGUUCUGUCCAUCAUACCAUUGAUUUAUGUUGAGUAUUUCAGCGAUGGUUUCUACAGUAAAUCUGCAGUCUGCCUUGCCUUACCUCUGACACGUGACAGACCUCCUGGUUGGCUGUAUUCUACCAGCAUCUUUAUUGGAUUCAAUUUUGUGAUGUUCGUACUGAUAGCCAUCGGACAGCUUCUAAUCUAUCUGGAAAUAAAGAAAAACACUUCGGCCGGAAUAAGAAUGAACGUUAUCCGCCGAAAUGAUUUAAAAGUAGCCAGGAAUUUAUUGAUGGUGAUAACCACUGACUUCAUGUGCUGGUUUCCGAUAGGCUGCAUGGGUAAUUAUAUCCGGCAUUAGUCACUUCGUCCUACCGCAUGCAUAAAUCAGAAUCCUUGAUUAGUCCCCUUAUUCUACUGAUUGCAUAUGUAUUCAUCCGAGAUAUGUUAAUUUAGCAUUUCGAUUGUUUAUGUUUCAUUUACAAAUUACUUUUAAGUCAUCUUGCUAACUGUGUACGCAAGAAAGUACGAAUAAUUGAUUAUGAUAAGUUACCUUAUCUAAUCGGUUGUAUAUGUAAGUCUGGAUUAGAUAUAAUACCCCACUGGCGUCAUCGGCAAUUCCAUUCGAAACUAUUGUUUACUUCACGUGUACUGUGGUUUUAUCUAUUACAUUAUCCUGCUGACUGUACAUGCAUCCAUUGUUAUUACAUAAAACAUAUAUAUACCUGUAAAAGUGAAUGGACUUGGAACUAGAUUCUUUUAUCAUAUUAUAUUUGAUUAUUUGUGUUUCAUUACACGCUUGAUUAAACCGUGAUAUUGUAAGAAAACCAAAGAAAAAUUAUGGAAUGAUAUUAGUUACACUGCUAGUUGGUGACAGGAUACGGGAUAAACGCUGUCGAGGAAAUCCAUAUCGUUCUUGCCUGAUAUUGAUUUCACAAGACAGCGUAUAUCCCGUAUCCUGUCACCAACAAGUUGUGUAAUGAUUUUAUCCUGCCGACAACCCUUUACUUCUAUGCUAUAAUCGACACAUUUUGUAAACUUACGAGGCUACUUACAGAGCAGACUGGAAUCCUGCAAUCAUAUGUUUGGUGAUCAUGUUUGGUUUAUACUUGAUUAACAACAGCCAUAAAAUGCACAAUGAACUGUAUUUGGACUGAAUCACAAAACACAGAUGGUCACUUAAACAGGUUAUGAACUGGUUUUGAUCAGAAACACAAAAAACUUUAUGUUCCCUCCUUUCGAAAAUCAGAAAAUGUCAGAAAUGUCUUGAAACUUCCACUUUUAUCCCGUUUCCUGUUAAAUCCUUUAUCUUGUUUGUAGAUUAAAGGAUCCUACAACAAACUGCUCAGUAACAAAUAUGUUAAUUCCUUUGCUUUACGACGAUUUCACUAAAACAAGAUUCCAACCAUGGUAACCGUGGCCGUUUCUCCCAUACAGAGUUAUUGUUCUUCUACUUUCGCUUCUUACAGCUAACUUCACGACCCUUAACUACGUAGGAGAUUGAAAACGGCAAGAUAACACUAAAUUUUCUCUCGGAAACGAUAUCUAUAGCUGGAGCUAAUAAUAUGACUUGAUUCAAUUACACCAGCGAUGAGGAAGCAUUGUGUUUUAAUCAAAAUUCAUAUCGGCAAAUUACUAGCUGGAUAUGGAAUAUAUCCUGUCUGCACGUGACGUCUCUUGACCGGUAGAAAUGCAAGAAACUUGUAGAAGGCGAGAUAAAUAGUAUUUCGUCGCAAGUUGAAAUUCGUUAAGGAAGCAAGUGGUAAAUCUUUAGAAUUUUUUUUACUAUGAGAUAGCCUUAUAAUGUUGUAGGGGUCUGUACAAUACAAUGUAUAAACAUUGAAUAAUUUAUAAACAUUGAACGCAGCUAAAAAUAGCAACAAUUUGACUGGGUCCGUUCAACACUUUAAUGUUUUACCAGCAUUUAGUAUUUCGUUUAGAGUCAUACCGACACAAUUUAGAUCCUAUGAUAACUUUCCAGAUUUUGGUGAUGGAGGAAGACCCCAGGUGCUCAACCGGGCAUUAUUCCAGUCAUGGGUGGGCACUGGGUACAAUCACCGACCUUUUGUGUAGCUGGUCACUUCGAUAAUAUUAUGUAUGACGAUUUUAUACAGUCUAAUUAAUUUUCACAAUAUUUUGCAGGACUCAUGGCUAGCAAUGGACAUGACAUUCCUGGUGAGGUAUAUGCUUGGACUGCAGUAUUGGUUCUUCCAAUCAAUUCUGCUCUUAACCCAUUCUUGUACACGUUUUCAGCAAUUAUCAGUGCAAGGGUAAAUUUCAGUUUUGAUUUGAUGUGUAACUAUGAUAUUAGUAACAUUUACCCAGUAUCAUGCGAUAUAUCAACAACUUGUUUUGAUGUUUUGACAUUAUGUUAUGUUACAAAAUGUUUGAAGAAAGUCAUACUUAAAAACUUUACCAUGGCAAAAUUAAUGGAGUUCUAUACAUGGGAUUGUACUAUUUGUAAGCUUGUUUUAUAAAUACAGAUGAAUAGCUGCCAAUGAGUGUGAUAAAUGUUAUAUCUGAAAGGAGUCUGACGGAACAUGUUUGCAGCGUAAUCACUGAUUUCAAGAUUAUAUACACUUACAGUAAAACAGUGAUAGCUUGAGCUUCAAUAGCUCGAGCUAUUCAUGUGGUGUCCGACCAGUUGCUCGAAACCCAAGAUAACUCGAGUAUUUUAAUUUGUUUAUCCACACCGCCCCCUCCCCCACUGCGACCCUAAGCGAUCGGUAUUAUACUGAAGUGCUUGCUCUCACAGAAACAACAGAUGACAAGCCCUAUUAAACCGAAGACUAUUCGGCUAAAGAAGGUAUUUACAUCAGGAUUGAAAGCGUUAUCUCAUCUCUGCACUGUGUUUAUCUCUAGUAAAUACAUAUAUUGCUUUUCGGGCAUUUAAUCCGAGCAUAGAAGAACAAGCACAUGAGAACCUUGCAAAAGGUAAAUACAAAUAAAAAUAUCCAUAACUAGAAGAUAGUUUAUAAAACAAGUUAAAAGUGUAUAAAUUUUAUUGAACAAACUUUUGUUAUGCUAUGGUUAUUCAAUGAGAAUAAAAAACAUAUCGCGUUUAAAAUUAAUUUCUAGAACCAACUUAGUCUUAUUGCUUGUAUGUGAAAUAGUUCGGUGUAUAUCUCAAUGCCGUAAUACCUAAUGAAUGUAACAAUCUACCUUCUAUUGCUUUUAAGGGAUAAAUUGUCCACUGAGGUUAUAAUUAAGUGCCUCGUAGUUAAAAUAUUUCUAGAUUUUGCUUUAUUCUAGUCAAGCAAAAAGGUGUUAUUACGGUAUUAUAAUGUUUAACAUAGCAACGAUUCUAGUAUUUAAAUAAAGUUUACGCGUAAUACUUUCCAGAUAAAUAAAAUAUAAAUGCAUUUCUAUCGUAGCUUUUGGAAAGAAAUUUGUACGCCUACUUUCGUUGUUUACGAAUCGAGGAAGGCAGACCUGGCACAGAAUCAAUCUAUCAGAUCUCAUGACACAGAGGCCAUUAACAAUGGACGAGGUCGUAUGGAUUACAGUCAAAAUCACCAGAGUUUUAUCUUCUCUGCACGAUGAAUGUUUGGUUAUAAAAUCUCUGGACAAAGAGAAUAUUGUCAUUCAGAUUUCCUCCGACAGAAAUACAAUCAGAAACUUGUACCUGAAUCAUCAACCACAGGUGCAUCAGGAAAAAAUGAGAAGGCUGAAGACAUAUUGUCUCUUGGUUAUUUGAUAAAAGAAUGCAUUGAAAGUUUAAAUAUUCAUGCUUGAUCUUGUUGUCUGGAACAACUGUUACAAAACAUAAGUUUAUUAAUGUCAUACCGUAGAAAUGUUGUAUUCAGUAAUAUUUGUUUGAUUCCUUUUUAAACAUUUUGUUAAAAUUAACGGAAAGAUAUUUUGUCAGUUUAUGAGUCUUCGUGUGCAUAUAUUAGACCAGUUAAAACAUGGUUUACACUUUUUUUCUGUCGUAUAUACGUAACAUUGUUUAAGUGUGCUAGAUUUCUUCUUGACGAAUAAUUGUAACACUUCAUACGGGAAAAUUAGGCCCAUCGUGAAAACCACCACAGAAGCCGAUAAUAAGUUUGGCCAGGUAAAUCGGUAGUUUCCGGUAUACUCCGUUAUUUUAGGCCGAUGUCUAACAAGUAAUCCCUUCUUCGCCAAUGUACCGUUACAUUAAUACUUUUGAUCAUAUGAAUUAAAGGAAUAUUUUCAAGUCUAAUUUACAGUGAUUGCAAAGAUAAACUAGAACAUAAAUUGGAACUAAUCGAAAACUAAAUGUUAUUUGGUGGAUUAAUCAGAAUACCUUUAUAACGGUAUUUUGAACAAACACAUUAUUAUAACACGGAAUAAUCACUUUGCAAAAAUUAUUUUUUCUUACAAUCAGAUAGAAGCUCGCUUUUAUAAUACUUUAAUUGAUUAUCAUGAUUAUAAAAUAAAGUGUUUAAAUAGUUUUUGUGUGUAAUCAAAUAACUGCACAUUUAUUAUUAUAUCGUGGGCCGUGUCCAACUAGCUUAGAAUCUUAUGCCAGCUCGAAGAUCGAAAUUAAACUUCACAUGAUAACUUGUCGAAUUUUGAUCUCAAGCUACCCCUGAAGAUCGGAAAACGUCUAAUUUCAAAAAAAGCUUUUAAUUUCGGGCCAGCUCAAUGAUCGAAAUUCAUAAUAUUUCAAACGCCGAAUUUCGACCUUGAUUUUUCAAAAAUUCAAAUGCCAAGCAGGCAAUUAGUGUCGAGCCAGCUCAGAAAUCGUACUUCAAAUUUGAAAAGCUGAAUUCAAUGUAAUACUGAAAGUGCGACCUGCUCAAGCUCAUAAUUCAAAGAUUAAAAAUCGUUUCAGAACGGAUAUAUCUAAAUUCAAGUUUUUAAAAAUCUAAAUCGAUUAUUCCCGGUAUUAUAUUUCAAGCCUGCUCGAAUUUUCAAAGCAAUCAAAUUUAAAGCUAGGAUUGAAUGUGAAACUAACUAUUUUGAUCUUGCAUUGAUUUUACUUGCGAGCUCGCUCGACGUUUCGAAAAAUGAAGCACUGCAUGUCGAUAAAAGUCAAAUUUUCAAUCUGAAUAUUGAGCAGGUAUUCAAUUAAGAGCCAGUUUAAAGAUCGCAAUUUAAAUUUUCAAAAUGACGAUUGACUAGAAAUUCAUGCUUACUAAAAAUAUUUGAAUUUCGAUCUUCCAGCUGGCUCUAAUUUCAUUUCUUUCUCGAACUUCGGUGCUUUCAUUUGAUUUUAAUUUCGAUUCCCGAGUUUGUUCGAAAUUCAGUGUCAGCGAAAUUCAACGUCGUUCAUUCGACAAUUUAAAUUUCGAUCUUCUACUUCUAACUUGCCCAAAAUAUGCCGCCUCAAAUUUUAACGUUUUGAAACUUUUAAGUGUUUUCUUCUUCCACGCUCGAAAUUAAAUUCAACCUCGAAAUCAGUUCCUUAAGAUUUCCAUUUUCGUCAGACUCGAAGUUCAAUGCUUCGAAUGAAACACUGAACAUUUCAGUUUCGAGCUUCGAACAAGAUCCAACUUUGAUGCGAACUCGAAAUUCUUCUUUUUGAAAUUUUGAUUUUCGAUCCUCAAUCUGUUUAAAAUUGACUAUUGGCUGUAAACAAAAUCAUAUUAUGGAGCGUCCACUAAUGUCUAAAUCCGUACAUGUGUGCAGUUUAGCGGGUGAGAAGAAAUCAGUCUUUACCAUUAAAGAGCUUAAAUUCCGUAAGAAUUGACGGAAAUAUACGAGAAUGUUACGAAAAAAACCUAUACUCAACUGAAAAAUGCUUCAAAAAGACUAUUUUCUUCGUCACCUAGAAAACUGAAGUUAAUAUGAAACAAUAGCUAAAUUAAUACAGAUUACUAAGCCGUUUGCAAUGGUUCUUAAGGGCAAAUAAGAAUUUCUUUAUUCUUUGUUAAACAGAAGAAAUUUCAGCAAAUUAUGCAUAUUUUACUAUGUAUCUAAUUGUAGAUAGACAGGCAUAAAGUAUACGCAAAAAAGACCAUUUUAUUUUAAAUUCAUUUCAAAAAUAAAAUAUGCAUAAGAAAGACAAUGCAUUGAAUAUUAUCACAUCGUUUGCAAAGGUAAAAUACCUUUAAUACAUUUUCCAUAUAAUUAAAUAAAGUAAAGGACUCCUUCUUUGCGCUAUAUGAAAUAUUUUCACACGUGCGAAAAAUCGAUGGGUCUAAUUCUUCCAUAUGUGUUCUUCUGUACAAUUGUAUUUGCGUUGUUCAUAGUUACGUGCAACAGCUUUAUAUUCGCGUUGUUCAUAGUUAUGUACAACAGCUUUAUUGUUACAGCUUUGUAUUCGCGUUGUUCAUAGUUACGUGCAACAGCUUUAAAUUUAUUGUUACAGCUUUACUGAGAUGAUUAGUUGAUACAAUGUAUUAAGUGUAACAUUUCAUGGUAUGUCGUAACUAUGUCGUAUUCAAUUAUUUGUAUGCGACUGAUUCUUACAUGUAUAAAAGUUUCAAUUUAUAAAAUUUAUUAUAGUUUGUUCAUUUAAUCAGUGUUUUGCUGUUGAUAUUGUCCUUUAAUUUUCUAUAAAACGCAAAAAGACUAUUUUAAGAUAAAAAAAUCAAGAUUUUGAAUACAAAUAUAUCUAUUAUCAAAACUUAGCGUUAAUGUAUAUAAAGGUAUACACAUCUAAUUUAAAUAAUGUUUCGGACCACUGACACCAGAACAGAAAUAAUAUGCCACUGUACAUGCUAUACCCUACCCAUAGGUAUGCUAUAAGAACCAUGGUCAUGAACAAAAAAAUAUACUAACCCAUUUCAAUCGCGCAUUUCUCGCCUAAACGCACAGUUCGAUAAAUGGGUACUAUGCAUAUUGAACAAGCGGUAAUUUAUCUUCCAUCGUGCACCAGUCACAUUGUCUCAAUACUUCAUAUUGCGAAGAUACUUCCACAUAUCAACGUUACAGAAAAAAACUUUGAUGAACUCCCCUAGUGAACUUCCGGUCUAGAGGUCUCAGCAGUGUGCACAUGUUUGGCGAAAUGUAAACAAACGAAAACAGAAUGCAAAAUAUUCACAGUUAUACAAUAAAACUCGAAAUGAUGAAUGAAAUUAAUCUUAGAAAUUAUUUUGAAUUUGAAGUUAUACAGACGUACACAUUUGUAUUAUUUAUAUAACUGACAUUGCACAUUUAUGUUGCAUAUUUACAUCGAAAUAUAACGGCUUUGGUGUUACUCUGAGAAAAGAAAUUUUGAACAAAAGUCACCAGUGAACAAUGGAAGAUAAAUUACCACUUGUUCAAUAUGCAUAGUAUACAUUUACCGAGCGAGAAAUGUGCGAUUGAAAUGGGUUAGUAUAUUUGCUCGUACAUGACCAUGGUUGGUGGUAGGGUAUAACAGGUGCAGUGGCAUUUCCUUUCUGAUCUGGUGACAGUGUUUCGGACAUCAAGAUUGUAACUCAAACUCAGUGUUGUCUGAUUAGUCUGCUCAUGAACAGACUCAAUCAAAGCGAGUCUGCAAUUUUCACUGUUUGCCUUGUUCUCGGUGCUUCCGAGGAUCUACUUUUCAGAUUUUACUUACUUCACAACAACGGGUGUUAAGUGCUGUGUGGCGGCCGUAAAAAGUCGCCCCGACUUCAUCUCAGUGUUAUUAUAUUUUCUGGUCCAUCAGGAUCAUUGAUUUCAACUCAUUUAGAUUUGAAGAUUGAAUACUGCUUGGGGUCGUCGGCAAUUUUGCAUUUUCCAUUACUGCUCAUGAACAGACUUAAUCAAACCGAGUCUGCAAUUUUCACUGUUUGUCUUGUUCUCGGUGCUUCCGAGAGAUCUACUUUUCUGAUCUUAUUUAUAGUUUCUCAUAAAGGUGUUUUAAGUAUUGUUUUGUAAAUAUAUGUAUUAAACCCUGAUGGCAACUUCUGGAACAAGAAAAGCUGUAAUAUAACGAUUACAAUCGCAGUGUUGAAAGAACUACAACCGGAGAAUAGAUGUUGUAGAUGAGAACAGUAGUAGUAGUUUCCAAUGACAUUUUUACUAAUUACUAUUUGUUGCAUCCAGAAACUUACUCCUAAAUUGCAGGAGCAAUGAUGAAUUUUGCUGUAAAACUUAUAUUCUUGUAUUGA